UUAACUCAAAUUUGUAUGGAGUUGGAACGUUUGCCUACGUUUGCCGCUGUUCCAAGAGCAUACAGAUUUGAGUUA
rnacentral:pre_miRNA from 1 species